rnacentral:lncRNA from 1 species
UACUUCGGGAUUCCAGCUGAAUACAGAAGACCAGCUGAGAUAGUCAGCCUUGUGGGGCUGAGCAACUACUAAAUUCUUGAACUUUCUGUCCACGGCUAGCCAUUGUUGGAUUAGUUGGACUGUAACCUAUAAGUCAUUCCAAUAAAUUACCCAUACAUAUACAUAUAUGGAAAUUACACACACACACAUACUCCAUGAGUUCUGUGACUUUUGUUUUUAUUUUAUUUUAUUUUAUUUUAUUUUUUUGUCUUUUGAGACAGAGUUUCUCUGUGCAGCCCUGGCUGUCCUAGAACUCACUCACUCUGUAAGCCUGGCUGGCCUCAACUCAGAAAUCCGCCUGCCUCUGCCUAUAAUUUUUCAGUUUUUUGCUUGUUAUUUUCUUUUUAUGUUUAUGGAUGUUUUACCAGCUAGUAUGCCUGUGCCAUGUGUCUCUAGACACCAGAAGAGGGCAUUGUAUACCCCGGCACUGGAAUUAAAACACCAUAUAGGUUCAGGGAAUCGAACCCAGGUCAUCUGGAAGAAUAGCUAGAGCUCUUAAUCGCUGAGCUGUCUCACCUGAAACGGAGUUCUGUGACUUUUGAGAGCCCUGACUAAUAUGAUAGAAAAAAGUUAAGAGGAGGAAGGAGGUGAGAAGGGAGAAGGGAAGGGAGGAAAUGGAAAUGACACCAACCAGGCAUCUUAGUGGUCUGGCUGUCUCACUUCCAGUAAAUCUACCCAGUGGAAUGGUGUGUCACCACUGUGAUGUGACAGCUUUUUGGUCGGCAUUCCCAGGGCAGGAAGGUAGGGUUCAUACUUUCAGUCAGAAGAGUCAACCCCCAACUGUGCUUCUUAUCAACACUCACCUGAGGUUUCUGCAUUGCUGCAUUUGAUGGCAGGCCACAGAAGUGACACUAGGCAGCCUCUCUCCUCUUGUCACGUGGCCUGUAAGGCUUCUCUAAGAACUGAGACACAGUCAGAGGGUGUGCAAAUGCAGAGACCUUCGAUGCCUCUGGGAACCCGAGGCUGGUAAGUGGAGCAAGAGGGAGAGGGCAGAGGGUUUUUCAGAGACGAGGCCACACAACUCCAGAACUAAAACUUUCCAUUUUAGUUUUACUUCUGUGUUAUGUCCUUAAGUUUGAAAGAUCAAUCAGAAGAAAAAGUUUAAAGCAGAAAGUAAACUACUGCCCCAAAUCCAAACCAGAAAAUCCUCACGUUUUUUUAUGUUUUCUCUACAGUUUGGAGAGAUGACCAGAGAAAUAACCCUGUAAGGCUGGGAAAGUCUGUAUUCUAAAGUGAAACAUUUUUUACUUAACAAAGGGGAAAGAAUGGCUGAUAUUCUGUGAAGUCAUAUUUUAUUAUUGGACUGCCUUCUUCUGGGUUCAGAAAGGAUGGAAGCCAACUAGCUGGUGGGAGGCAGGAUGGCCCGAGUACCAUAGGAUGGUGUCCCCACCAUGUUUUCUCCUGGUUUUUUUUGCUUGCUUUUUAUUUAUUUUUUUUAAUUAACACUGUUUAAUGUCUUUCUGAUGUCUGUGGCUCUAAUCGAUGUGCUGUCAACCACUGGACUUUUUAACCAUGGCUUAUUAUUUUAAUAAUUUGAUGUUUGGUGGAUUUAAUUUUUUGAAACGCCAGGCAUGGUGGUGCACGCCUUUAAUCCCAGCACUCAGGAGGCAGAGGCAGGCGGAUUUCUGAGUUCGAGGCCAGCUGGUCUACAAAGUGUGUUCCAGGACAGCCAGAGAUACACAGAGAAAGCCUGUCUCCAAAAACCAA